rnacentral:rRNA from 1 species
UACGAAGGGGGCUAGCGUUGCUCGGAAUCACUGGGCGUAAAGGGCGCGUAGGCGGCCAUUCAAGUCGGGGGUGAAAGCCUGUGGCUCAACCACAGAAUUGCCUUCGAUACUGUUUGGCUUGAGACCGGAAGAGGUAAGUGGAACUGCGAGUGUAGAGGUGAAAUUCGUAGAUAUUCGCAAGAACACCAGUGGCGAAGGCGGCUGACUGGUCCGGUUCUGACGCUGAGGCGCGAAAGCGUGGGGAGCAAACAGG